rnacentral:rRNA from 1 species
GACGAACCACACAAACGUUAUUCGGAAUUACUGGGCUUAAAGGGUGCGUAGGCGGCGCAGAAAGUAGGGUGUGAAAUCCCUCGGCUCAACCGAGGAACUGCGCCCUAAACUACUGUGCUCGAGGGAGGUAGAGGUGAGCGGAACUUAGGGUGGAGCGGUGAAAUGCGUUGAUAUCCUAAGGAACACCGGUGGCGAAAGCGGCUCACUGGACCUCUUCUGACGCUGAGGCGCGAAAGCCAGGGGAGCAAACGGG